GUUCCUGUGCUCCAAGUCCGCUACCUUGUGAAACUCGACUUCCAGAACAUGCGCUCCGUAGUUCUGGCUGUCCAGGUCUUUGACCUGCUAACGUUUGACCUUCACGACUAAUUUUCCGUAGUUCUGGCUGUCCAGGUUCUGAACCCGGUGACUUUUCACCAAGCGCUACGUAGUUUGUGCGCUCCAGGUUCGCUGCCUGGUGAAACUCGACUUUAGGAACAACCGCUCCGUGGUUCCUGCGCUCCCAAGCCGCUACCUAGUGGAACUCGACUUUCAGGACACGCGCUCCGUAGUUUCUGCGCUCAAGGUCCACUACCUGCAGGAACUCGAUUUCCAGGACAAGGGUUCCAUGGUUCCUGCACUCCAGGUUCGCUACCUGGUGCGUCUCGACUUCCUGACAAGCGCUCCGUGGUUGCUUCGAUAAAGGUCCAAUACCUAGUAAAACUCGACUUUCAGAACACGCGCUGCGUAGUUUCUGCGCUCCAGGUCCGCUUCCUGGUGAAAAUCGACGUUCAGAACAAGAGUAUUCCAGGUAUAACCCGAGGUGAUUAGCAGUAGUGGUUGGCGGUGGUCGAGCUGGACAAGGCGGAGGAUGAGGAAGACGAGGAGAACAAGGUGGACGAGGAGGACGAGGAUUUGUGCUCGGUGGGUGGCGGUCGUUGGAGAUGGCCGGAGGUGGACAAGGAGGACGAGGAUUUUUGCUCGUUCUGUGCCCCACCUAGUGAUCCACUAGUACAUAUCCUCCGACGUGACAUCGCUCUGCUACGUAUGAAGAAGAAAAGAUUUAUUAAGAUGCAAAUUGCUCCUUUCUUCUUGCCAUUGUGCUUUCAGCCAUUGUUGUGCCGUGUGUUUAAAAUUUAGGACAGUAUGUAAUAUAGAAUAACAGGUACAGCUACGAAUAUAGGACUACAGUAAAUCUUAUAGAAAUGAGCUCUCAUUGAGAUUUCUCUGUAUUUAUAACUCGACGCGAGAAGGCAAAAAUCAACGUAAUGCCAUCUGUAAGGUAAUUGGACUCGUAUUUCCACUACGAGAACUCGU
rnacentral:lncRNA from 1 species